AUACUUACCUGGCAGGGGCAAUACCAUGAUCAAGUAGGUGGUUCGCCCAGGCGAGGCUCAACCUUGCACUCAGGCUGUGCUGACCUUUUGCGAAUUCCCCAAAUGUGGGAAUCUCGACUGCACAAUUUCUUAUACUGGGGGACUGCGUUCGCGCUUUCCCCUG
ensembl:snRNA U1 U1 spliceosomal RNA